CCUGCAGGGCAGAAGAGAAGACAGGUGAGAACCUCCCCUGGCUUUACGGUAUAAAGUGAUUAACUGUACAGAUAGGUUGUAAUUGUUACUAAUUUCCCUGCUUUGGGCGAUGGCAUCUGUUUUGCAAUAUCACGUGUCAGGGACUAUUUUAUGCAACCAAUCCGACCUGAUCAAGAAAUCUCAUCCCUUUCUUAGAAAUAUUUUUAGCCUCUUUUAUACGUACUGGAAUGUGAACUCAGUAAUUUCUAGAAAAGCAAAUCAAACUUGUUAUUUUUUCUUCCCACAAAGCUCUUAUAGCACUGAGCAUUUUCCUAUAGGUCUAAGGCAGACAUUGGCAAACUAAGGCCCACAAGUGAAAUGCGGACUUGGUUCUAUAAAUAAAGUUUUAUUGGAACAUAUCCUGUGACCAUUCCUUUUAUGGACUUUGCCUGUGGCUGCUUUGGUGCUGGAACAGCAGAGAAACUUCACCCAAGGAACAUGGAACUUUGGUAGUCUCCACCCACAGGUACUAAGUUACCACCCUGGAAAUGGUGAGGGACCAUGGCUGAGACUUCUGCAAGGAUUCAGAGACUCUCUGGCAUGGAGGCUCUAUGGUCAAGCUCUAGGCAAGGGAGCCUAAUUAGCUGCUUGUUCCUAUAAAAGACCCGAGUGUUCAUAUUUAAAUUGUGGCUCUGAUUAAAUAUUAAUUAUGUAUAUCAUUUUAUUAUUGGGCUUAAGCCACAUAAGUGUUUUUUAAUAUGAUCAAGACAGAAAGCAUAGAGUUUGCCUUUACACAGGGAUGGAGUUGGUUUUAGGACAUAAAAAAUACCUUAAUUUGGCUAUUUCAGAUCCUUGUGGGAAGUAGGCAGUUUCAAAAUAAUUAAAUAAUACAGUCUUUAUUUUAAUAUCAGAUCCCUCUUCACCAGUCACAAACAUUCACUCCAACACUGCUCCUUAGUGCUUCUAGCUGUUCCUCCUUUCUAAUAGCUCAGCUAAGGUUCUAGAAGUGCGUCAGCCCAGCUUAAAAUCCUGUGGCAGCUACUGGCCAAUUUGUGAAUAAGGACAGCAGGGAGGCUUUUCUUAACAUAGAAGGGUGCCAUGCUUAUGAGUUUGUCCAAAGCCUCAGCUUGAAUAUUUAUAAGCCCACAGGGCAGUCCAUGUGGGAGGGUAAAAAAAGUGGGCCCUGGUAUUUCUGCAAGCCCCGAUGGGUGCCAUCUGUGCUGAAACCACAGGCUGCCACCCAGGGCAGCCAGCCUAGGCAAACACAAGAGGGCCUUAACCAGAUUCUCAGAGGGGGGAAAUGGCUACUAUGUACGUUGCCAUGGCUUUUGGGAUCUCUCCUCCCAACACUCAUCAGAGUGGUUACUCGCACAGUUAAUGCCAUGAAAAUGCAAGACCUACAUCUCAUUGAGAGAAAGGAAACAGUGGGCCUUUGGGUAAGCAAAAAAAAAAAAAAAGUCCCAUUUUUCUUCUCUCUG